CCUAACCCUAUUGCUUUUAAAGCACUUUAAACUGCAGCUGCAAGUUGCGCCAUGAAGCACGCCCUGCCAUCCCCUUUUGCUGACUGGGAGCAGAGGAGGUGCUGCUUACAGUCUCUCCAGGUGCAUUUCAACAGUCAGGAGGAGGCCUGAAGCCUUCGGGCGAUUGUACAUCUCCUAAGAACAUUUAACGCAAUUUCUCUAUAUUCUUUCUGAAGCCCUUUCCAAAGAAUGAUGAUGGUAUAUAAACCUCUGGAAGGGACCCCAAGGGUCAUCCAGUCCAACCCGCUGCAUCGCAGGAACAUGCAGGAGUCCCUUACAGGGAACAAUCCCAUAACCUUGUUGUGAAGCAAAUGUUGCCCGCUUAAAUGGCAAACCUCUCCCGGAGCUGCAAGGUCAGCCAUGAAGCCCACAUGGCCAUCCACUUUUCUGGACUGGAAACAGAGGAAGUGCUGCUUACAUCCUCCUGGGAGCAUUUGAACUGUCAGGGGGAGGCGCUGACCCUUACCCCUAAGCCUAACCCCAACCCUGACAAUGACCCAAACCCCAAGACUACAGUUACAACAGCAGACUUACAAGUUCUGACCUUUGUGAAAGGUGAAGAUAAAGGGGCCCCUGACCAUUAGGUCCAGUCGUGACAGACUUUGGGGUUGCGGUGCGUAUCUCACUUUAUUGGCCAAGGAAGCCGGCGUACAGCUUCCAAGUCAUGUAAGAGGCUUCUGGCAAACCAGAGCAGCGCACGGAAGCGCUUUCAAAAUGAUAGCUGGGAAGGAGUAGGGACCGAGCAAUGGGAGCUCACCCUGUUGUGGGGAUUCAAACCACCAACCUUCUGAUCGGCAAGUCCUAGGCUCUGUGGUUUAACCCACAGCACCACCCGCAUCCCUAUUUUCUGACCUUUGACCCCUAGUUAGAAACUAGGCUUUCUGUUGCCCUCGUUAUUCCAACCACAAAUUGUCCAGCUUAUUGUGCAUCUGCCUAGAAAUAUCAUUUUCAUUUGGGAAAACAUCUCAUAAAGAGAUUUUUUCCCCCAGCUGCGGCAUUAGAACAUGGGAAGGUGUGCAUUGCAGGGCAUCCCAAAACAAGUCUUCCUGACCCAGGGCUUAGGGGAAUUAGGGUUGGGGGAUAGACUAUACUUUUUAGGAAGCCUGUUUAUUCUGACACUGCUGUUGGUGAAGGAAACCACAGACUGAUCCUAGCACAAACGCACUGCUUUAGGAGACAGGGGUCCCAUCCCAACCCCUUAGCCCUCAAACCCAGAGGAUCCCAAUACAAUUUGGCUCCUACCGUUCUCAGUAUGGGUUCUGCUCCUCUUCCGGGCAGGCACUGAAGGUGGGACCUUGUCUGUCAUGAUUACGGAGGGAAGACAAAUUGGGGGGGAAGAAGGCACAGCGUUCUCUCCAUCUCCCCCUUCUGCCCUGAAGUGUGUGCAGGGAAACCCACUCAUUUCAGUAAUCCUCGUUUCCCCCCCCUCUUUGGUUUGCCAUGCAUAAGUAGGCUUCUGCCCGAAACAUAAGUGUUAUAAUAAAUCCACAAAAUCUGACAUCAAGUAAGACAGCAAACCUGCGGACCUGAUUUCUUUCAAGUGAACUGAAAGAGUAUAAGUAUAAAACAGGCACCCAUCGUUUCUGCUGCAUCGUUUAUUCCACAAACUUGUGUCUUCUUUCUGAAGCACAUUCCAAAAGAAUCCUACAAUGGUGUAUACAUCUAUAUCUGGAAGGGACCCCAAUGGCCAUCCGAGUCCAUGGCAAAGCAGGAACAUACAGGAUAACAACCACCAAGCUUGGUUGUGCCAUCAGUGUUGCCCUAUUGAAUGGCACUUUUAAGGCACUUUAAACUGCAGCUGCAAGUUGUGCCAUGAAGCACACCUUGCCAUCCCCUUUUCCUGACUGGGAGUGGAGGAGGUGCUGCUUACAGUCUCCCCAAGAACAUUUCAACAGUCAGGAGGAGGCCUGAAGCCUUCGGGGGGAAUUGUACAUCUACUAAGAACAUUAAAUGCUAUUUCUCUUUCCUCUUUCUGAAGCCCUUUCCAAAGAAUAAUGAAGGAAUAUAAACCUCUGGAAGGGACCCCAAGGGUCAUCCAGUCCAACCCGCUGCAUCGCAGGAGUCCCUUAUGGGAAAUAAUCCUGCAACCUUGGUUGUGCAGCAAAUGUUGCUCUCUUAAAUGGCACACCUCUCCUGCAGCUGCAGCUGCAAGGUCCGCCAUGAAGCCAACGUGGCCAUCACUAUUCUUGACUGGAAACAGAGGAAGCUCUGCUUACAUCCUCCCUGGGAGCAUUUCAGCCGUCAGGGGGAGGCCCUGACCCCUAAGCCUAACCCCAAACCCACCCCUAAUAAUGACGCUAGACUUACAACAGCAACCCCUGAUCAUUAGGUCCUGUUGUGGCCAACUCUGGGGUUGCAUGGUGCACCUCACUUUGUUAACAGAAGGAGCCGGCGUACAGCUUCUGGGUCAUGUGGCCAGCAUGACUAGGCCGCUUCUGGCGAACCAGAGCAGCGCACGGAAAUGCCGUUUACCAUCCCGCUGACGCGGUACCUAUUUUUCUUCUUGCACUCUGAGGUGUUUUUGAACUGCAAGCUGGCAGGAGUAGGGACGGAGCAACAAGAGCUCACCCCGUUUGCGGGGAUUCAAACUGCUGGCCUUCUGAUCCACAAGUCCUAGGCUCUGUGGUUUAACCCACAGCGCCACCCGUGUCCCUUCUUUCUGACCUUUGACCCCCCCCAGUUAAAAACUAGACUUUCCGCAGCCCUCGUUACUCCAACCACAAAUUGUCCAGCUUGUUUUACAUCUGGCUAGAAGUACCAUUUCCAUUAGGGAAAACAUCUCAUAGAUUUUUUUCCCCCAGCUGCGGCCUUAGAACAUGGGAAGAUGUGCAUUGCAGGGCAUCCCAAAACAAAGCUGUCUUCCUGACCCGGGGCUUAGGGGAAGACUAUAAUUUUUUAGAAGCCUGUUUAUUCUGACACUGAUGUUGGUGAAGGAAACCGCAGACUGAUCCUGGUUCAAGUGCAGGAGACAGGGGUCCCGUCUCAACGCUCAGCCCUCAAACCCAGAACAUCCCAAGACAAUUUGGCUCCUACUGUUCUCUGUAUGGGUGCUACUCCUCUUCCAGGUAGGCGCUGGAGGUGGGAUGAAGACCUUGCCUGUCAUGUUUAGGGAGGGAAGACAGAUUGGGGGGAGAAGGCAGUGCUUUCUAUCCAUCUCCCCAUUCUGACCUGAAGUAUGUGCAGGGAAGCCCACUCAUUUCAGAAACCCUUGUUUUUUCCCCACCCUUUUGUUCCCCCACCAUGCAUAAGUAGGCUUCUGCCCCAAACAUAAGGGUGAUAAU